rnacentral:misc_RNA from 1 species
UCUCCGUUGGUGAACCAGCGGAGGGAUCAUUACUGAGUUACCGCUCUACAACCCUUUGUGAACAUACCUAGCCGUUGCUUCGGCGGGCAGAGGUCCCUCGCGGAUCUCUCCCGGCAACGCCCUCACGGGCGGAGCGCCCGCCGGAGGAUACCAAACUCUAUUUUAACGACGUUUCUUCUGAGUGGCACAAGCAAAUAAUUAAAACUUUUAACAACGGAUCUCUUGGUUCUG